rnacentral:rRNA from 1 species
UACGUAGGGUGCGAGCGUUGUCCGGAAUUAUUGGGCGUAAAGAGCGUGUAGGCGGCCUGGAAGGUCCGUUGUGAAAACUCGAGGCUCAACCUCGAGACGCCGAUGGAAACCACCUGGCUAGAGUCCGGAAGAGGAGAGUGGAAUUCCUGGUGUAGCGGUGAAAUGCGCAGAUAUCAGGAAGAACACCCGUGGCUAAGGCGGCUCUCUAGUACGGUACUGACGCUGAGACGCGAAAGCGUGGGGAGCGAACAGG